GUGAAUAUCAUAUAAAGGUAAUAUGCCAGCCUCUGAAGUUGGAAAUUGGGGUUCGAAUCCCUAUAUUCACUCA
rnacentral:tRNA from 1 species